rnacentral:rRNA from 1 species
UACAGAGGUCUCAAGCGUUGUUCGGAUUCAUUGGGCGUAAAGGGUGCGUAGGUGGCGCCGUAAGUCGGGUGUGAAAAUUUCGGAGCUUAACUCCGAAAACUGCAUUCGAUACUGCUCGACUUGAAGGCAGGAGAGGGUAGUGGAAUUCCCGGUGUAGUGGUGAAAUGCGUAGAUAUCGGGAGGAACACCAGUGGCGAAGGCGACUACCUGGCCUGUUCUUGACGCUGAGGCGCGAAAGCUGGGGGAGCAAACGGG